GAGUAACGCGUGGGUAACCUGCCUCAUACAGGGGGAUAACAGUUAGAAAUGACUGCUAAUACCGCAUAAGACCACAGCACCGCAUGGUGCAGGGGUAAAAACUCCGGUGGUAUGAGAUGGACCCGCGUCUGAUUAGGUAGUUGGUGGGGUAACGGCCUACCAAGCCGACGAUCAGUAGCCGACCUGAGAGGGUGACCGGCCACAUUGGGACUGAGACACGGCCCAAACUCCUACGGGAGGCAGCAGUGGGGAAUAUUGCACAAUGGGGGAAACCCUGAUGCAGCGACGCCGCGUGAGCGAUGAAGUAUUUCGGUAUGUAAAGCUCUAUCAGCAGGGAAGAAAAUGACGGUACCUGACUAAGAAGCACCGGCUAAAUACGUGCCAGCAGCCGCGGUAAUACGUAUGGUGCAAGCGUUAUCCGGAUUUACUGGGUGUAAAGGGAGCGUAGACGGAGUGGCAAGUCUGAUGUGAAAACCCGGGGCUCAACCCCGGGACUGCAUUGGAAACUGUCAAUCUAGAGUACCGGAGAGGUAAGCGGAAUUCCUAGUGUAGCGGUGAAAUGCGUAGAUAUUAGGAGGAACACCAGUGGCGAAGGCGGCUUACUGGACGGUAACUGACGUUGAGGCUCGAAAGCGUGGGGAGCAAACAGGAUUAGAUACCCUGGUAGUCCACGCCGUAAACGAUGACUACUAGGUGUUGGGCAGCAAAGCUGUUCGGUGCCGCAG
rnacentral:rRNA from 1 species